ensembl:lncRNA
CUGGUACAGAGUCAAUGUGGAGGCUAUAUACAGGGGUACCGGUACAGAGUCAAUGUGGAGGCUAUAUACAGGGGGGUACCGGUACAGAGUCAAUGUGGAGGCUAUAUACAGGGGUACCGGUACAGAGACAAUGUGGAGGCUAUAUACAGGGGGUACCGGUACAGAGUCAAUGUGGAGGCUAUAUACAAGGGGUACAGGUACAGAGUCAAUGUGGAGGCUAUAUACAGGGUGUACCAGUACAGAGUCAAUGUGGAGGCUAUAUACAGGGGGUAACGGUACAGAGACAAUGUGGAGGCUAUAUACAGGGGUACUGGUACAGAGUCAAUGUGGAGGCUAUAUACAGGGGGUACCGGUACAGAGUCAAUGUGGAGGCUAUAUACAGGGGGUACCGGUACAGAGUCAAUGUGGAGGCUAUAUACAGGGG